GUGACUGCUCUGUGCCUCCUCUUACUCCCCCUUUAAUGGAAAUGUCUGUGGCAAUCAUCUUAUGCCUGUUCCCCUGUUCUACACCAUGUGCGUUGAGGGGAAGAUAAUUUAUUUGUUUAGUUCCCAGGUCUUCAGAUUAGCAGAACUAUGCUCAAGGAGUUGUCUCCAAGGAGCCUCACCUGCACCUAGGCCUGCUUUAGCUGAUGAAACUCUGGGCUUUGAGCCUGAGACCAAUUCUGCAACGGGAUAAAGCAUUUCGGGUCUUGAAAGAUGGUGAGUAUACUUUACAUGUGGGGAGAAUGUAAGCAAUUUGUGACCAGAGGCAUGCUGUGGCAGUUUAAAAGCAUGACUCCAAAAUGCUUUAUUACUCCUCCCAUUGAGAAGGAGGUUUAUGUUUUUUUCUCCUUAAAUUCAGGCUCUUCGAUAGCUUGACCAAAAGUAAAUGGCUGAAGCGAUUCUCCACCAGUUUCUGGAGCCAGGGCAUUAAAAAUGGUGGAUUUGAGUUCUUGUAUUUCGUGAUUGCCCCUGGGACCUAACUACCACGCUGUGAGAAGAGAAGACCCAGCAGCCCGUGGGGAGGCCCAUAUAAGAGGAAGCCAAGCCCUCAGCCAUCAAUCAGCACUAAUUUCCUAGUGCUGUGAGUGACCUGCUUUGGAAGUAGAUCCUGCAGUCCACAAAUGUUUAUGGUGUGGAGAAGUGAAGAACUGAUCUUGCUGAGUCCUGCUCAAAUUGCAUGUGGAGCAGAGCACUCGUUCAGUGGCUGGGAAAACCUGAAACAUUGUGUGUAGAGAUGGGAUCCACAAGAAGGUGGUUUUCUCCCUCUGACCUAGAAAGAGGGGCAAGGACUCUGGUGUACUCUGAUGUGCCUGCACAUUAAAACAGCAUGAAGCUACUGCGGUGGGUAUACAGAGAGCGGAAGAUUAGCCCUGAGCUAACAUCCCUGCCCAUCCUCCUCUACCCUAUAUGUAGGACGCCUACCACAGCAUGGCUUGACAAGCAGUGCCCAGGUCUGCACCCGGGACCCGAACUGGUGAACCCUGGGCCACCAAAGCAGAAUUAUGUGAAUGUAACUGCUGUGCCACCAGGCCGGCCCCUGUGUGUGUCUUUUUCUUAAUCAUUGUUAUGUUUUGAAACGUCUUGACUUUUCCAUGAUCAGUUACAUAUUAAAUUAUAUUUUCUUUCCAUAAUGUUUUAUGGUGUCUCUCUUUCACAUUUCACUUUUAAUUCAACUGGAACUUAUUUUAUCAUGUGUUGAGGUGAACAAUUGACUUGAUUUUUUUUCUUAACUCCCAGGUAGCCAUUUUUCUCUACAUAAUAGCUUAAAUAGCUAACAUCAUAUAUUGGCAUAUGUGUACACUUUAACACAUGCUCAGUUUGUAUGUAGAUUUCUUCUCAGAGCUGUCUGUUCUGCUACACUGAUCUAUCAUUUAUUGUGCCAGUUCCACAUCUUUAAUUACUAUAGACUUAUGAUGUUAUUUAAGAGCUGACAAUGCAUGUACCGUCUUAUUCAUCUUUGUUUUUAACACUCUUAUUUAUUUCCCUCCUUUAAUUCAUCAAAAUGGACUUUAGAACCCUAAUUUUUAUGUUUUCUUAAAAUCUCAUCAUGUUUUCUAUCAUAGU
ensembl:lncRNA